rnacentral:lncRNA from 1 species
AAACAAACAUUCAUAGAUCAAGUUCCAGUAUUAAAUGCUGAAUAUAAAAGAAAAACAAACAUGGCAAUAACUGUCUCUAAAUUGGGUUUGGGUCUGGUAAUCGUGAAAUAUAAAAGAUCUGGACUGUCACUGAUGGAGGUAUUUCCUUUAUCUCUCCAGAUCACAACUUCUCCAUCCUGUAGCAGACAGUUUUAUGAAGAGUACCCUCAAAACCAGUUAUCACCUGCUGGCUGAGCAGCUGAUGGUGAACCAUUGUGAAUUUGGAUAGGAACACAUGAGUUUUCUUCUUCUUGUACAUCUGCCAUCUUAUCACAAUGCAUCCAGGCUUCCAUACACCUGCAGACUGCAGAGAAAGGCACUGCCUAGAAAGUGUCUAGUGGCAAGGCAAAAAUCAGGAAGACUGGCAAUGAAUGACUUAAGAUGCAUUGGGUGUCCUUGGCAUCUUUGAUGUCUGACCAAGAUCUGAGUACUCCACAGUGCCUACUUCAGCAGCCCUCAUGGUCACUAGAACAAAAUUGUUCUGGUCUGUUCCACCAAGAAAAAUCUCCACAUGCUUUGAUUUGAUCAGCAAGCUAUCUGUGCCUUUAUCUGAGUCAUUACUAAAAAUGUUCAACAGCAGUGGGGUGAGGACAGAUCCCCAGAAGCACUCCACUGGAGGUCUCCUUCCAAGUUGACAUCAAUGCUAUCUAUGGCUAACAAUGUUGUUAUCUGUGGUGAAAACAGGAUCUGAAUUUGAUCCACUGAGUUUUCCACACUAAAUAAUGUUAAUUCCACAAGUGUGACCCAUUUUUGCACAAUAGGCUACUUUCUGAAAUUGUUGCUUAUGAACAGAAACCUUACAUAAACCCAAUUUUUUAAAUGUACUUACUAUAGAAAAUUAUACUAUAAAGAAAUCUUUUUUGUGAAUCUAGGGCAAUCAGGGAAGGCUUCAUUUGAAGAGGUG